CCUACGGGGGGCUGCAGUGAGGAAUAUUGGUCAAUGGACGCAAGUCUGAACCAGCCAUGCCGCGUGCAGGAAGACGGCUCUAUGAGUUGUAAACUGCUUUUGUACGCGGGUAAACUCAGAUACGCGUAUUGUUCUGAAAUUAUCGUACGAAUAAGGAUCGGCUAACUCCGUGCCAGCAGCCGCGGUAAUACGGAGGAUUCAAGCGUUAUCCGGAUUUAUUGGGUUUAAAGGGUGCGUAGGCGGUAUGAUAAGUUAGAGGUGAAAUCCCGAGGCUCAACUUCGGAAUUGCCUCUGAUACUGUUCGGCUAGAGAGUAGUUGCGGUAGGCGGAAUGUAUGGUGUAGCGGUGAAAUGCUUAGAGAGCAUAAAGAACACCGAUUGCGAAGGCAGCUUACCAAGGUACUUCUGACGUUGAGGCACGAAAGCGCGGGGAGCAAACAGGAUUAGAUACCCGGGUAGUC
rnacentral:rRNA from 1 species